UUAAAAAGAAUUUAUUACAUGAUAAGAUUUGAAUUUGAAAUUUUAAAGUUUUUAUGUAUUUUCCUAUUAAACUAAGGUAUAUUGGUAAUAUUAAUGAUUUUUAAGCACAAGAAUUUGAAUUAAUUUAAAAUUUAUUAUUCCAAUAAUUCAAAUUUCUAACUUUUAAGUCUUUUUUUUUGAAUGAAAAUAGUUGGAUUUAUGGGAAAACAAAGCCCAAAACAAAAUAAUCCAAAAUACAUAGAAAGGCCAAUAUAUAAGAUACGACCCAGACCCAGUAAAAUCAUUACCUGAGACAACAUAAGUUAAAUCCCAUUAAUCAUCACAACUUUCAAAACCUACAAACUCUUCAUUUUCCGGGAACCCCUUUCCUCUUCAUUUUCCCGAAAACCUACAACUUCAGCAAAAACAGAAGUAGAACGACUCCCAUUAACAAGAUAGCCCAUUCCUUGGACGAUCUCUUUCCACCAGCUCCACGGCGUAAUCAGGUACGCUUCCAUUUUCGUUACUAUGUUCUCCAUUUCUUAAACCUUUUGCUAACAGAUUUGCCACUUUAUUCUUCAUUCUUCAUUCUUCAUUCUUUUGCCAUAUAGAAACUUGCAUAUCUAGAAAUCCCGACUUAACUGUAAACAGUCUUUAAUGAUAGCACCGAUCUCCAAUUUAUCUUCCCCUUUCAUUUGUAGUUUUAUUUUUUUUAUUUUUUUUAUUACUGAUAGAGCAUCCCCCUCUACCUCUAUAGCCAUAACCCCCAAAUCCAUCCCCAUUUGAAGCCUUUGAACACAUGCAAUAGCCUCUGCAACAAAAAUCGAAGGAGCACACACAUUUUAAUAACCCUAGACCCCAAAAUCUUCCCCUUUGAAUCCCGUACAACGAUCCCAGAGCAAGACCUAUGUUCCUCCUUAUUGUAUGCGACAUCAAAGUUGAUUUUCACAAAGGGAAUCUCCGGUGGUUUCCACCUCUCUACCUCCCUCGGUUUGACAAGAAUUAUUUUCAAACAACCAGGUAAUCCAACUCAAAAAAUCCAUGUUUCCGAUGGAGUUUGGCCACUUACAGUUUAAAUGUUGCCAAAAUUGUUUUGACACAGAACAAUCUUGAAAGAUAUGUUCUCUAGAUUCCACCGUUUUAGCACAAACAUGAAAGAUGGCAUUUGUAGUUAAUCUUCUGUACUGUAGAUCCCUGAGUGUUGGGAUAAAAUUCAUGAAGCAUCUCCAUAUUAUCAAAAAUAUUCUCAUUAUUUUGCAAUCUGUAAUCCUCAAAUCUUGGCACCCAUGCAACUCCUUUUGCUGGAAUAUUUUUCCAGUUUCCACUCGCCAACACAGUCCUUAGAGAAAUCCUUUUGUCGCCCAUAUACUCUUCUAAGUAAAAGAAGGUAGAUUCCCCAACCUUGCUUUUAAGAAGUCCGUCGUUGGAUAGUAUUUAGGUUUUAACGUACGAGCAAGCAAAGAAUUUGGAAAUGUAACUAACCUCCAGCCUUGUUUUGCAAGGAAUUAUAAAUUACAUUCACGUAAUGCCAAAAACAGCUUUUAAUGUUUGGCUGUUUGGUCA